rnacentral:rRNA from 1 species
CCUACGGGAGGCAGCAGUGGGGAAUAUUGCACAAUGGGCGCAAGCCUGAUGCAGCGACGCCGCGUGAGGGAUGACGGCCUUCGGGUUGUAAACCUCUUUCAGUAGGGAAGAAGCGAAAGUGACGGUACCUGCAGAAGAAGCGCCGGCUAACUACGUGCCAGCAGCCGCGGUAAUACGUAGGGCGCAAGCGUUAUCCGGAAUUAUUGGGCGUAAAGAGCUCGUAGGCGGUUUGUCGCGUCUGCCGUGAAAGUCCGGGGCUCAACUCCGGAUCUGCGGUGGGUACGGGCAGACUAGAGUGAUGUAGGGGAGACUGGAAUUCCUGGUGUAGCGGUGAAAUGCGCAGAUAUCAGGAGGAACACCGAUGGCGAAGGCAGGUCUCUGGGCAUUAACUGACGCUGAGGAGCGAAAGCAUGGGGAGCGAACAGGAUUAGAUACCCUGGUAGUCCAUGCCGUAAACGUUGGGCACUAGGUGUGGGGGACAUUCCACGUUUUCCGCGCCGUAGCUAACGCAUUAAGUGCCCCGCCUGGGGNGGUACGGCCGCGAGACGAACUAACUAAGAAGUAGACGGCGNGAGACGUGCCGACGGACGACGACGAGGGAGGAGG